ACAUACAAUAAAAAAUCAUUUAAAUUAUAUUUGGUUUUUUAUAAUUCAGCUUUCUAUUUUAUUUCAUUGCAGCUUCCAUAGUUUUAUACCGCUUGUUCACUAACCACCGCUACAGCAUUGUUAGCUCGCCUCCCCUUUCUUGAAUUCACACCUCGUACCUCAUCCUCUUCACAUCGAAAACCGAACCGUUUAUGUUUCCAUUCCAGAACUAAGGUUUUGUUUAAUUAUUUAUGACUCUCAACUAGAAGAACACCCUCAAGCAACAAAAUCUUGUAAGACCGUCACCGUUUCAUGCUUUAAACAACAAUCCCAUAUCCUUAAUCUUUAAUUCUCCUGAAACCCAUAAUUGGGGCACUGAAAGUGAUCCUGGGUUCAAAUAUCACAACGGAAAUUCAGAACCUCGUGGCUUUGGUAUGUAAGAUCUUAUGAUUCAGGUGGAAUUUGUCAAUAUAUGUAAUACAUGUAAUUUCCAACUUCAAUACUGUUUUCAUCCAUCAUAUAGUGUUGACUGAUGAUUUUGAUUUUCUGCUUUCUGGGACUCUGUACUACUUGAAUGCAAUUUGGCUGGUAAAACUUUCUGAGAAUGCAUUUAUUUUUACCACCAUCCUCCUAUCAUCUUGAUUAUUUAAAGGAAAAGUACAUUUUAAUUGAUGAAUGCAUAGUAAGGCAUGCUAUUAUUGUGAAAUUCAAUGCGCUGUGACUUUGUAUACACCUUUAUUAUACGAGAACAGUGAGACAAAGAUAUAUGGAGUUUACUUGAGAAAGCUAUCAGUGCAGUUUGGGUUUCUGUCGGGACUGGUUUUUUAUGUUGUUAUUGGUGGUUUUUUAAUAGGAAUGGAACACAAGAUGUGAACAAGAUAUUUAUCGGUGGCUUAUAAGGCUUCUUAGGAUCACAAAAUCAAUGUCAUGUUAGCAAAAUGCUUUUAAGUUGGAUGAAUAUGUUUGGCAACAAUGCUAUAAUAUAUGCUUUGAAAUUCAUAUUCUUCGUGUCUCUCUGAUAAUUGAUUCCAUUAAAUUUGAGUCAUCGAUAACCCAGAGUUUAAAAGCUUUUCACUUUUCCUUGAAGAAAUGUUAAAACAUAAACUGAUAAACUUAAAUGAAGAGUAGGUGAAUCCAAUCCUGCACCCUAAAGCAUCAUAAUGAAGCCCUGGAACAGAAAGGAUUACUUUCCUGUCAAUACAGGUUGUGACAAGAGCUUUUGAUUGCUUCAAGUAGGCAUGGCUCAAAUUAAGCUGUUACGUUCUUACAGUUUAGUUUCUAUAUGAUAUAAAAAAGGGUGCAAAUCCUCAGAACACACUGCUCUUUGUGUCAAUAUUUAUUUGACUCUCCUAAUUAGAUAUCAUACAAGAUCUGUUUUUCUUUAGAAAUAUGUUGCUGUAUUUGUAGAGGAUGAUUAUCCCAAGCAAGAAGUAAUUUUUAUAUCAGGAAAUAUUGGUGUUACUGUUGAUGAUACAUACAAGGCAUGCGAGAGAUUUGAACGCUUAGGUGUGGAGUUUAUGAAAAAACCUAACGAUGGAAAAAUGAAAGGGAUAGCAUUCAUCAAGGAUCCUGAUGGCUAUUGGACUGAGAUCUUCGAUCUCAAGACCAUUGGAAAAGUAACUGAAACCGCUGCUUGAAAUCAUAGGGAGCCCCCAUGAGAGUAUGAUCAUUGUGCAGUCACAUAUCUGGUCUCCAACAAUUUAUACUCCCCAUGGUAUCAAGUCUUGUAUCUAGGUAAUGUGUAAAGCAAUACACUCUGAACUGCCGCCUCCUUAAUGCACACUCUUGGCCCAAGGCUCCCAAGCGAUGAGAUCCUAGCUAGAUUUAACUGGAACCUCUGCAGUGUGAUCCAGCUCUUUUUUUCCCUUUUCUUCUCUCUUUUGAGUGUUGGGUGUAAGGGUGGCCUGGCAGCAGUUCAUUUUGUUAUCCAUGUUUUCGGCGUUGAUCAUUUUGUGCAGGAAAGGGGGCAUUUUGCAGUCUUCAAGAUUUCUUUCUUCAAAAGAUGCUGCAGAGUAGGACUAAAGUUUUCUUUUCAAUGCACGCAUCUCUUGUGAUGGAGAUGACCUAUAUUUUUGUUCAACAUUUCUUUUAUUGCCUUCUCUUUAUGUAGUUGAAUUUGGGGUUUGGCACCCCGAAAUGUACUAGGAAUUGUAAAUAAAUGGCAAGGUUUUUGUGGCUUUUUUUUA